rnacentral:rRNA from 1 species
CGUGACCUACGGGACGCAGCAGUAGGGAAUCUUCCACAAUGGACGAAAGUCUGAUGGAGCAACGCCGCGUGAGUGAAGAAGGGUUUCGGCUCGUAAAGCUCUGUUGGUAGUGAAGAAAGAUAGAGGUAGUAACUGGCCUUUAUUUGACGGUAAUUACUUAGAAAGUCACGGCUAACUACGUGCCAGCAGCCGCGGUAAUACGUAGGGGGCAAGCGUUGUUCGGAAUGACUGGGCGUAAAGGGGGGGUAGGCGGUAGUACAAGUUAGAAGUGAAAUAC